AGAGUUUGAUCCUGGCUCAGGAUGAACGCUAGCGGCAGGCUUAAUACAUGCAAGGCGAGGGGGCAGCAAUGUCACCGUCGUACGGGUGCGUAACGCGUAUGCAACCUACCUAUCACUGGGGGAUAGCCCGGGGAAACCCGGAUUAAUACCGCAUAACACAGGGGUCCCGCAUGGGUACUAUUUGUUAAAGAUUUAUCGGUGGUAGAUGGGCAUGCGUUCGAUUAGCUAGUUGGUGCGGGUAACGGCCUACCAAGGCGACGAUCGAUAGGGGAGCUGAGAGGUUGAUCCCCCACACGGGCACUGAGAUACGGGCCCGACUCCUACGGGAGGCAGCAGUAGGGAAUAUUGGGCAAUGGAUGCAAGUCUGACCCAGCCAUGCCGCGUGCCGGAUGAAGGCCCUCAGGGUUGUAAACGGCUUUUAUUCGGGAAGAAGAGCGAGGGUGCGCCCUUGUGUGACGGUACCGAAUGGAUAAGCACCGGCUAACUCCGUGCCAGCAGCCGCGGUAAUACGGAGGGUGCGAGCGUUGUCCGGAUUUAUUGGGUUUAAAGGGUGCGUAGGUGGCUUUAUAAGUCAGUGGUGAAAUACAGCCGCUUAACGGUUGAGGUGCCAUUGAUACUGUAGAGCUUGAAACAAUUGGAGGCUGCCGGAAUGGAUGGUGUAGCGGUGAAAUGCAUAGAUAUCAUCCAGAACACCGAUUGCGAAGGCAGGUGGCUACGUUUGAUUUGACACUGAGGCACGAAAGCAUGGGGAGCAAACAGGAUUAGAUACCCUAGUAGUCC
rnacentral:rRNA from 1 species